rnacentral:lncRNA from 1 species
AACUUGUGCAUAACUGCAUAAUUAUUCAUUGCAGCAACUAUCGUCUUCUUUUCCUGGUACACUUGUCCUUCUUCAAUACAUGUUUGAGAAGAUUCAAUUAUUAUUUCACUUUGAUAUUCCUCAAUAGCUGGUGAAGAUGGAAUUUCUAUUAACCUUAAUGAACCUGAAGAACCUGCAGACAAUACAUUCACAUUGUAGUUUCUUUGUAUAUAAAUGGCGUCAAAUUGUAGUUGAUUAGAGAACAUAAAAAUCUCAGAUUUCGGUUUCGAAGCAACAUACCUGUACUGAUGGGACAUUCAUUGGUGAU